AUCAAGAGAAAUGUUACUGCUUCCACCAUAAUCAUAGCCAUGGCACUAAUGGGUAUCACCAGCUGAACGAUGAGACCGAGGAUGUCAUUCGUCAUAGGCACCUUAAAGUUCAAACGAGGGCUUGAUGGGGUCCAUAUCGGACAAACACCAAUGCGGAGGAUAACAACCUUGGUGAUAAUCCGACAGCUAGAGCCAUCAAUAUGAUCUUGGGACCUACUGAUCGGGGGGGCUAGAAGCGAGGAGGACCAAGCGACAAGCUUCGAGACCAUCGAUAUUUGGUGCAACAAGAUGCAAGAAAUUCUAUUCUAUAAGCGUGGGCAUCAUCAAUGACAUUGGGAUGAAGGGAACCCAACAAUCCUAGCGAUCGGCCACAUUAUCAAAUGGGUCAAGCCGAAUGCCCAUCGCAAGUCAUCGGAGCAAAAGCUUGGGACAAAAUGGCAUUGUACUGACAGCAAGUGGAUAACCACUACAACACCCUACC
rnacentral:lncRNA from 1 species